GUGGGGAAUAUUGGACAAUGGGGGCAACCCUGAUCCAGCAAUACCUCGUGUGUGAAGAAGGCCUUAGGGUUGUAAAGCACUUUCAAUUGGGAAGAAAAGUUUAAGAUUAAUACUCUUAGACCUUGACGGUACCUUUAGAAGAAGCACCGGCUAACUCCGUGCCAGCAGCCGCGGUAAUACGGAGGGUGCAAGCGUUAAUCGGAAUUACUGGGCGUAAAGCGCGCGUAGGUGGUUUGAUAAGUCAGAUGUGAAAGCCCUGGGCUCAACCUGGGAACUGCAUUUGAAACUGUCUCACUAGAGUAUGGUAGAGGGAAGUGGAAUUCCACAUGUAGCGGUGAAAUGCGUAGAGAUGUGGAGGAACACCAGUGGCGAAGGCGACUUCCUGGACCAAUACUGACACUGAGGUGCGAAAGCGUGGGGAGCAAACAGG
rnacentral:rRNA from 1 species